rnacentral:lncRNA from 1 species
CGCGCGCCCGGCCCGCACCUGCCUAGUCGGCCUGAGACGCUCCUGGCAUGAGCGCGCCGGGGGCGGCGGCGACGCGGGCUCGGGCUGGGCGCUUUCCGCCCGAGGACAGAGACCAUCCCAGAACCAUCACCCGACGUGCCUUCGAGCGAACACCGGACGGAAGGGUCGCACCUGCGUCCCGAACGUUCCCUUCGUCCUCUAACUCACGUUCAAAGGAGCAAAGCAGGGCCUCGGAUAGUUUCCUUUCCUGAACCAAGCCUGUGCCUCACAGAACCUUCUCCUCCUGGCCCAGGCUCUGCCUUGUUCCUGCUGUUGCGCCUUCGGUGCUUUGUCCCUUACAAAGCGAAACAAAGCUAAGCAGCACAUCAGGGAACCGUUCCGGGUGACCGUGCACGGCUACUGCGCGGGCCCCGGGCCCCUCCUUGCGUGCCUGUGGCCUUUACAGGCGCAGCUGAGUGCCAGGGGCCAGAGGAGCGUCAGUCAUCUCUGCUACUGACCACCGUUUCACUGUGCCAAAGACGAAAAAUAUAUAUAUUGUUGGGUUUUAUGAUUAAAUUAUUUAUAUAUUUUUGAAACCCGAAUGGAAAAUGUUGCAGGCGACGGUUGUGGCUUUACUGUCUGUUGGGUCAUUUCUUAAGUGUGUUCUCGUUAGGCCGGGUGGCUUCUUCCAAGCAAGAGCUAACCGUUAUGUUUGUGGGGUGCCAGGAUCACUGCCACCUGAAAGCAAGUGUGAUUUUUACUUUUAAUAUUAUUUUAUUUGUGUCUGUACAUACUCACGUAUAAGUUUUAUGAAACCCCGGCAUAGUGCUCAUUUUUUAAUAAAACUGACAACUGACUUCAGCACUUUGUGGUGAUGGGUUGGAGACGGAGGUUUGUACCCCCCUCCCAAAUAAUCUCAGGUUUGACUCUUAAACUCCUUGUGGAGUUCAAACUGUUUUCCUGAAUAAUUCCGUAAAGGCAGAUGCUGUGGGUUUCAUUACCCGGCACAUCACUGUAGGAAUCUGCAGGAUCCAAGUUCCAUCAGUGGGGUUUCUUAAACGUCAAAGCAAUGACCUCCAAAAAUUCACUUAAGUUACCAGAACAAACGAUAACGUGUGGGCCCGCCUUCCCCAAGAACCUCUGGGGACAAGUUCAGCUGUUAACCAUCUUAGCCUCAAGCAGAUAUUGGGUAAACUGGUUCUGAUCACACUCAAAACUGUGAUCUUGGCAAGGUACUUGUCUUGACACUGAAGAUUUCCUCAGGGAAAUUUUUUUUUAAUUAUUUGUUUAUUUGACUGUGUCUUAGUUGUGGCAUAUAGAAUCUAGUCCCCUAACCAGGGGUCAAACCUGGGCCCACCGCAUUGGGAGCUUGGGUCCUAGCCACUGGACCCCCAGGGAAGUACUUCAAGGAAGCUUUAAGAACACUUUGAAAGCCAGUGUUUUUUGUGUCUAAACAAAACCUCCCACCUAUUUAGGAAUGCAGAGGAGGUUCUAGCUCCUUCUGAUCUGCAGGGAAGAGCCA